rnacentral:rRNA from 1 species
AUUGAACGCUGGCGGCAGGCCUAACACAUGCAAGUCGAACGGUAACAGGAAGAAGCUUGCUUCUUUGCUGACGAGUGGCGGACGGGUGAGUAAUGUCUGGGAAACUGCCUGAUGGAGGGGGAUAACUACUGGAAACGGUAGCUAAUACCGCAUAACGUCGCAAGACCAAAGAGGGGGACCUUCGGGCCUCUUGCCAUCGGAUGUGCCCAGAUGGGAUUAGCUAGUAGGUGGGGUAACGGCUCACCUAGGCGACGAUCCCUAGCUGGUCUGAGAGGAUGACCAGCCACACUGGAACUGAGACACGGUCCAGACUCCUACGGGAGGCAGCAGUGGGGAAUAUUGCACAAUGGGCGCAAGCCUGAUGCAGCCAUGCCGCGUGUAUGAAGAAGGCCUUCGGGUUGUAAAGUACUUUCAGCGGGGAGGAAGGGAGUAAAGUUAAUACCUUUGCUCAUUGACGUUACCCGCAGAAGAAGCACCGGCUAACCCCGU